rnacentral:rRNA from 1 species
ACACGCAUGACACACUGCAUAUCAAUAAGCGGAGGAAAAGAAACUAACAAGGAUUCCCUUAGUAACGGCGAGUGAAGCGGGAAGAGCUCAAAUUUGAAAUCUUCAAGGUUCUACCUUGACGAAUUGUAGUUUAUAGAAGUGUUUUCUGUUAGUAGAGUGGCAAAAGUUCUUUGGAAUAGGACAUCAUAGAGGGUGAGAAUCCCGUAUUUGGUCAUUCUUUCUAGCUUUGUGAUACACUUUCAACGAGUCGGAUUGUUUGGGAAUGCAGUCCAAAAUGGGUGGUAAAUUUCAUCUAAAGCUAAAUAUUGGCGAGAGACCGAUAGCGAACAAGUACCGUGAGGGAAAGAUGAAAAGAACUUUGAAAAGAGAGUUAAACAGUACGUGAAAUUGUCAAAAGGGAAGCGUUUGACACCAGUGUUGUUUUUCCGAAAAUCAAUUACGAAUGUUUUGUUUUUGAGAAGUUAUGACUUCAUCGGCUUGCUUCUUUCUUUACGAAACUUUCUUAAUGCACUUUUCGGUUAACAAGUCAACAUCAAUUUCUUUUGUUGUAAAAGGGUACGAGGAAGGUGGCUUUCUUUUCGGAGAAAGUGUUUAUAGCCUUGUAGCCUCUGCAAUCGGAGAGAUUGAGGUCUGCAGCGUAGAUCCUUCGGGGUUAGAUACAUUUGUGCUAAGUUAUAGCUUUUCAUAGACAACUUGUUGACUAUGUUAGUCUUGUAGCUUACUCGCUUACUGCUAUUUUACCUACGCUUAGGAUGUUGAGCGCAUGUCUCUCUCU